rnacentral:rRNA from 1 species
AUUCCAGCUCCAAUAGUGUAUAUUAAAGUUGUUGCAGUUAAAAAGCUCGUAGUUGGAUUUCUGGCGGGAGCGAUCGGUCCUUCACUCAGUGUUGGAACCUGAUUGUCUCCUGCCAUCCAUGGAGAAAACUUAUCUGGCAUUAAGUUGUCGGGUAGGCAAUCUCCAUCUUUUACUGUGAAAAAAUUAGAGUGUUCAAAGCAGGCUUAUGCCGUUGAAUAUAUUAGCAUGGAAUAAUAAGAUAGGACUAUGGUACUAUUUUGUUGGUUUGCGAGUCAAAGUAAUGAUUAAUAGGGACAGUUGGGGGUAUUCGUAUUUCAUUGUCGGAGGUGAAAUUCUUGGAUUUCUGAAAGACGAACUACUGCGAAAGCAUUUACCAAGGAUGUUUUCAUUA